rnacentral:rRNA from 1 species
CCACCCCUUCCCAUCCCGAACAGGACCGUGAAACAACUUUGCGCCGAUGAUAGUGCUGCAACCAGUGUGAAAGUAGGUUAUCGUCAGGC